GCUUGCUGAAACUCUGAGUAAACAUUUGGUAGAAGUCAAAAACUCGGACUGUCUGGUGUAUGAAUGUAAGUGUGAGAGUCUGUGUGAAGCAAAAGCUCCUUUGUGCUGUCUGGCUAUACACAUAAGUGCAAACCCUGCUUUAAGGGGAAGACAGUCGAGAACUUUUAAUUGCUUUGCUCUGAUGUAUAAUUUUGCUGUGUUAGGUUAAAAUUUUAGAAGUCUACGGUUAAUUUAAAGGUAUAAGGUUGCAACCCAAAGAAGUUUAACAAAGGCUUGUUAGGUUAAGAU